ACGCCCUCACGCACCUUCCUCCCCAGCCCCCCCCCCCCCCUGCCCCUUUUUGACAUCUCACGCUAUGGUGCGAUGUGCUUCCCUCUCCUGAUCCGGAUUAUCUGUCUGUGAUCAUUUUUUCAUCGUGGCAAAGCGUUCACCCAUUAGCGCGAUAAUUAGCACGGUUAGAGGCUACGGUAGCCGAGACAGCGAAGGCAAAGCGGGGGGCUCCAGCCUCGGGUAUGAAAGAUUUAUAAACAAGAGUGCACAGAAUUGCAGCCCACGCUCGUCUUUGCAGCGUGCGGCGGCUCCUCUUAAUAUCUCCUCAGCUGCGAAACUCAAAAGAUUUCAUUACCUCAAAGCGAGUCGAAAAAGAGAGCAAGAAACUCAAGAGUUGCACAUUUUGGUUUGCGAGGAGCGGCAAAGCAAAAGAGAUUGGGGGGGGGGGGGGGAGGAGGGUUUAAGGCUAGCGGGAGGUUUUGGAACAGAAAGCUUGACAAGGAGAGGGAAUGUCCCUUGUCAGCUACUUUUUCUUCUCUAAAAGGGACCCUCAUCCCCCCCUCUAUGAAAGCAGAAGGACUUUUUCUCGUGUCAAAUCUGCUUCAGACCCAACAUGUAAACAUCCUUGCUGAAUAGUCAGAUGCUUUAAUCAUAGAAUUGAAUCAGAUGAAUUAUGGAUGCCCCGUGUGGUUAAUUAUUCAACGUCAUAUACUUUCAUCUGACAUAAAUAUUACUUUUUUCUCCCCCACCACUCUAUAACCCCCCCCCCCUCCAUCAUGAAUAUUUAUGCUCUAAUGUGAGCAUCCGUGGCAUUUAUCCUCCGUUAAUCAGGUCUUAUGUGGUUUUCUUUCUCAAACGGCAUACGUUGCCUGCUCUGUUUUCACUGUGGGUGGUGGCUAAAGGCCUCUGUUAAUCGGGAUUAGGUCACAUUUCGCGGGCCGCUGCUGUGCUGAAUGUUCUCAAGCCAUAUAAAAAAAGAUGCUUUGGAAUCGGAACAGCCAUUGUAGUGGAUGCCGGCUUGAGAAAGCGACAGUCAGGCGCAGGAAUCGAUGAGCACACUCUGCAGAUUACAAAAGGUGAAUUGAUGUGCAACCCAGGAUGAAGAAUUUGUAAUAAGACAACUGUUUGGUUUUUGGUUUUUGUACAAUAUUAUUUUUUAAGGACUCAGAGAGGGAGUGUCGUUUUUUUGUUUUUUUUUUUAGCUUUUGUUUCACCUUUGCAAUUAUUUACUUUCAAAUAGCCCUUCAGGGUAAUGUUCCAUUUUCUUAUUCCGCGCCCCCCCCCCCCCCCACCCACCUCAUAAAUGCACCAACAUGGCGGUAAAUCACUGCACAAACACAGACUUACACGCACGAUGAAAGGGCCCAAGAUUUAUGUAACACAUUCAUAGUUCCCACUUUUACAUUUCAGUACUACGCUUGCAGAGCCCGACUAAUAAUAGCCACUAAUAAUAUUUCUUGUUGCCUAGCAACGGGCACAAGUAAUAGCUUACUCUGGAAAAAUAGAUGACCGAUAAGAAAGAAAGAGGAGGGAAAAAGGGUGGUGGGAGUAUAGGGGGUGGGGGGUGGGGGUGAUUUCAAUUCAUUUAUUAUCUGCUGGGACAAGAGGAGCUUAUUUCUCAGGCUGUGGAAUAGGAAAGUAGGCUGUGUAUGGAGAAAUAUUUCAAGAAAUUGAAGAUGACGUUGUUUUCAUUUCGUUUCCAUUAGGGAUGUUUCAUUUGAUGUUUCCUCUCGCAAAGUCAAUUAACCUUAAUUUCAUACUGAUAAGGAUAUAAUAAGUGAGAUUGAAUUUCUGAAUGCUUAAGGAAAAUGAGCGUAGAUUGGGAGAAAAAAAAAAGGCUCUCGGUCUCGGUGUGACUGGUCACGUAUGAAAGAAAAACAACACUCGGGGCUGCAUUGACAACCAAAAUACUAAUCGUUUGCCGACUUGUUCACCAUCAGUUAAAAAAAAAAGGGCAAGUAAAAAGCUGUACCUUAAGGAUACACUUCUCUGCAAUAAAAGCUAUCCUUCAGUGCACAAAUAAACCUCCUCCAAGUACAAGCUCAGCUGGAGCAGCAGAUUCGCCUCUUCUCAAGGGAUGUUGUUGCUGGUUUUUGUACAACAUGUAGCCUUAGGCUAAAGCUCUGUAAACUUCUCCCUGCUUUGGGAUUCUCUUUCUCAGCGCACAUCGAUCCUACAGCAAGCAGAGUUAAAUCAUUUCAGGAAUGAGAGCAGUGGAUUGACCAACACCCAUGCUGCUUAGGCAUAAAAUGUGCACUUGAAAUCGCGUCGCGCAAGAGUCCGAUUCAUCCUGCCGGCCUCUUUUUAUGUUUGGGACGCCACGUGCAGAGCACGAAUGAACUGGAACUUCCAAGGUGUGUUGAAAAUUGACGCUGAGGCACGAGUGGUCGGAAUGUGAUGUACAGCAAGACGUUGAUGGUCCCAUUUUUGUGUGUAUUGCUGUGCAAAUUCAUUUAGACAUUUUUAGACGGCGAUAGGUAAGAGCAUUUGCAAUGAAUUGAGGCUCCGCUCCAUUUCAGUUUGAGGGGCGAGUUAUUGCUCGUGGUUGUGCAUAACUGCAGAUGUAAAUAUAUUUCAGCCUAUGUCCACAAGUAUUAAAACGUACCGUAUUUUCCGCACUAAAAGCUUUACUGGAGGUGCACCUUCAAUGAAUGGCCUGUUUUGUAAUUGUUUUUCAUAUAUUGGAGGCACUGGAUUAUAAGGCGCAAUCUACAAUGCAUCCACUAGAUGGAGCAACGCUCCUUCCGUUCGACUCGAGAGGCGUUCAUGACCACCUCCGAAAAACGUAAAUUAACGAUUACUUCAAUGAACCUACGAAAAUUGAAAAUAAUCUGUUAAAACAGAAAAUCAAGUGAGUAAAUCACAAAAUAAAUUCUAUAGCUCCCCCCCCUACAGAUUUUUUUGGGGGCAUUUCCUUGAGCUUAGAUAGAACAGAACGCUUAGAUGUCAGUAAAAUAUAGGAGACUGCACUGCCUCAGAAGUGUUUGUUAUUUAUUCCUUUUUUGUGUACUGUAUUCACAAAUGAGUAUUCACAAACAGGUAUUACCGUAAUGACCAUAAACAAGGCGCACCGGAUUUUAGGGCGCGCUGUGAGCUUUUAAGAAAAUGGAAGACUUUUCGGUGCUCCUUAUAGUGCGGAAAAUACGGUACUAGUUGGCUGACCUGAUGCUAGAUAGAAACAAUUAUUAAGACUGAAUAUCAUACGGGAGCUGCAUCAAAUUGUACGGCUUUACAAAAGUACUGAUCUGUCAUCUCUCGGUGAUGUAUUGAUUUAAUUUAACAAGAUGUUUGUUACUGUGCGUAUACUUUGCCUGUAGUGGUGUAGAACUGAAUCAUCAUAAAAUUUGAGUCUAAUAAUGCCUUUUCUCAUGUGACUGACCAAAGAACUCGAUGUAUUAGACAAAGCUCAACUCUUUGUCAGGGCUGAAUAUUUGACACUGGAUAUCGUGAUUUUGUGCACGCCUUCGUAAGACUGCAACUGGUGGCUGGUAUACAGUACCGUGCCGAACUCCUAAGCCAGCCUUUGUUUUUCGAAAGCUAUAAUAACGUCAUUCCCAGACACUGGGCGCUAUUUAGAGCUUUGCUUACAUUGUCGUAGCUCCUCCCCUUCCAAGCUGAACGACUGCUUCAGUGAGUGUGAAUCAAGGCAGAGAAAGACCAGUCUUGGAUGAGCACAAACUGCGAAAUGUAACAUGCUGGCGUGUGAAUGUUCAGCACUUUCCGGAGAAUCCCUGUCUCAUCCUUCGCUGUCAGGAUGUCUGCCAGCUCGGGAAGAGGUGGCACUCAUGGGUCUCGUGUUCAACAAGCCCCCUGAUCAUUCGGGUCUGCUUGAGGCUGCUGUUGGCGUUGUGUGCGAAAAGGGAUGCCAGCAAGCUCUCACUCUUUGAUAAGAUAAAGCAGGAGGGACAGAAGACAGUAAUGAGAGGUCCUGGAGGGACCCGAAAUAGCGUCUUAAGGGGCACAGCGGCGUUUAAAUAUUGUAAACAUUGCACCGACCCCUGUCUCAUUACUGCUGUAAUGAGGCUAGUUAAAGGGAGGCCAAAGCCAUGACUGCCAGAAAAACAGCUGCCAGUUUCUAACAACUAUGUGCCACACACUUGACUCACAGAACUCCCACUCACAUUGACAAGAUGGACAGAGUUAAAAACUCAUUAAGGCUUCGUCUGAUCAAUCCGUGCGUUGUUUGAGAUAACGCCGUUCGGGUGAAGAAGAGACCUACAAUACAAAUUGUUUCAUGAAAUAAAAUUGGCAUUGGGGACGGCCUAAAUGAAAGAUUCUGGGUUCAAACUUUAACUGUGCUUGCGGACGUAUUCUGUAAACUUCCAGCCCCGUUCACGAAGCAUAAGUCAAUUGAAGACUCUAAAUCAGGGGGUCUCAAAAUGUGCGGUGUUGGUGCCAUUUGCGGCCUGCCGGCCAUUUGCCCACAGGAUGAUAUUUUGCAGCCUCCUUCCUUCAUGACAUCAGAGUUUAGUGUUAGUGCGGCCCCUUGCGUUUUGGGAAUGUGUGAGGGUGUGUGUGUGUGUUUCGCCUCUGAUACAAUACAUUCAUUCAUCCAUUCAUUUUCCGAUCGGCUUAUCCUCACAAGCGUCGCUGCUGGAGCCUAUCCCAGCUGUCUUCGGGUAGUAGGCGGAGGACACCCUGAACUGGUUGCCAGCCAAUCGCAGGGCACAACCAUCUGCGCUCACACUCACACCUAGGAACAAUUUAGAGCCUCAGCCUGCCAUGCUUGUUUUUGGAUUGUGUGAGGAAACCGGAGCACCCGGAGAAAACCCACGCACAUCUGGGGAGAAAAUGCAAACACCACACAGAGAGGCCGGAGCUGGAAUUGAACCCGGUACCUCUGCACUGUGAGGUCGACGCGCUAACCACUGGACCACCGGGCCGCCCUUAUACAAUACAAUACAUUCAUUCAUUCAUUCAUCUUCCGAGCCGCUUGAUCCUCACUAGGGUCGCGGGGGGUACUGGAGCCUAUCCCAGCUGUCUUCGGGCAGUAGGCGGGGGACACCCUGAAUCGGUUGCCAGCCAAUCGCAGGGCACACUGAAACGAACAACCAUUCGCACUCACACUCACACCUAGGGACAAUUUAGAGUGUUCAAUCAGCCUGCCACGCAUGUUUUUGGAAUGUGGGAGGAAACCGGAGUACCCGCAGAAAACCCACGCAGGCCCGGGGAGAACAUGCAAACUCCACACAGGGAGGCCGGAGCUAGAAUCGAACCUGGUACCUCUGCACUGUGAAGCCGACCCAACCGGGCCGCCCCAAUACAAUACAAUAUUUAUUUAUAUAGCGCUUUCACUUAUGGGCUACCAUAGCUAAGGUUCAUGAUAGCUUUCGGCAAAACAUAAUUCUAAAAUGAAUAAAGUGGAAGAAAAAGAUUUCCUCUCACUCAGUCCCUGUCAUGUAGUUUUUUUUAAAUCUGCAGUGAAGAGAAAGGUCAUGAGGAGAACAGCUAAUUUUAAGAAAAAACAGGAGACGGAAUGUUUCUUUGUUGAGCGCAGGGGCACCCCGACAUGUCUUGAAUGUGGAGAGAAAGUUGAGGUGCUCAAGAAAUCAGAUAUCAUCACUCAACUAGACAUGCUGAGCAGUGCUUUAAGAGCCGCUAUGCACCGGUACGGCGUACCAGCACUUCUCCAUUUUAGCCUCCAGCGUACCGGGACUUUUUACGGCGUACCUGGACUUCACAUAAGCCCCGAGUGCACUCUCUUGGUCUGUUUCUCUCUGACGCUUUUUUGAAACGAGACAGUUUCGGGUAGCGAUGUGUCGGUCGCGAACGAAACAGUUCUUCGAGCUUCAAAAGACGAUCGUUCACUUCAGAGAGCCUACACGCUAUUGUCAAUUUGACUCUUGACUGCACGGAUUCAAAGUGGCGGCAGUUACGGUGCACAGUGGAGGAGAAGGAAGGCCAGAGAACAGAGACAAACAGAGCAAGGAGUGGCCACACGAACUCGCUCGUAAGGUAGAGUUCAGAUAAUAACGGACACCAGACAAAGAAAGUCAAUCUCGAGAUAUUUUAAUUAUGUCGGGGCAGACUGUAAAGCCUGCAAGGAAAAAUAUUCUGAUAUUAUUGAAGGUUCCAGUCUAUCUAAUACAAACUGUUGCUACAUACUUACAUAUACAUUUACCGGUAAAUUAAUCCGGAUUUUUUUUUUCUGCCCACAAUUGGCAUUGGCCCUUAAAAAAAUGGUCGUGCCGUAAUUGAUGCUGCGUCUGUCCAGUGCCCACUUAUGUGAAGUUGCGCAACUUAUUGAUGAUUUUACUUUUGGUAUAGCUUUUGAGAUGCUCCACCUUAUAUUGUCAACACGACAAUAUCUAAACAUGACAUACUAAAAAUACGUUUCAUGGCGUUCUCUUGUUUACCACAUGAUCAAAUCUGGUUCAACAUCCUAAUUCAUUGAUUGUACAUGCACAGCAUGCAGCGAUGUCGAUGAAUGAAAUGCCAUUUGUUUUCUAAAAUGUAAUUUAUAUACUGUAUACAGUAUAUAGUACUGGAUAUACCAUAAUACAAAUCAGCUUCUCAGUGGGUAAUGAUAUUGUACAUUGGCGUAUUUUUCAAGUACUUUUCUCUUACAUACACAUUGUGAUGAACCUAGAUGUCUAGUACAUCAAUUAUUGCGCAAUCGCUAUGUGGUAUUAUCAUUGGUUGUGUGGUUUUCCACUUUGCGCAGAAAUACAGCAUGCAUUUUCAAAUGCACUGUAAUGUAAUUAAACCGUAGGUUUGUGUGCGUUUGCGUGUGUGUGUGUGUGUGUGUGUGUGUGCAUGCGUGUGUGUGCGCGCGCAUGUCAGACAUUGUCAGAGUCACUGAUCGCUACAAGGUUAUGUGAGCUUUAUUCCAUUCGACUUCAUUUACUGUAAUCUGACAGGAAAUUUAUUUUGCAUCACUUGGCAUUUAGGACAGGGGCGACAAUGAGGGGAAUACCAAUUCUAAAACAGUGACAUAAAAUCGAUGCAGACUACUGUGUUUAUUUGCGGUUUCCAGAUUGUUAGAUUGUGGCCCAAUGGAGCAAUUAUAAAGGUCAGAAUUGGUGGAUCAACAGCGCAGAAAUCACUGUUGUGAAUCCUCUUAGAGGAGUGACACAUUUACAUCAUUGAUUAUGCAGCCAUAAAAAAAAAAAAAAAGUAGACGGUACAAUGUAUAUUGCCUAAACUGCAGUACAUCCAUCACAAGUAAAUCCUGUGUGAUCACUCUGACUGCCAAAAGGCACAUUAAAUUGGUCUGGCUACGUUUCCAUACAACUACGUUUCCUUUGAAAUAAAGCAUCAAAGGAAAUAUGAAUGUAAAAAAAAAAAGUGGCAGCAAAUUGCAGUUUGCACUUGACUUGACAUGUUCAUUGCUUGCUUGGAUUACUUGUAUUUAUUGAAACAGCUGUCUUUAUUUCCAAAGGUUUGAGACAUAUCUCAUAUGACCCGCAUGCUCUGCUGCCUUCCACUGGGGCAGAUAUGACAUCUUGGUGACAUUCGCAGAUAAAUCACUUUUUGGUGCAGUAGAAAUGUUUUUCUGUUGUGUCUUUUCAUUUCAUUAAAAAAAAAAAAAAAAGAA